rnacentral:lncRNA from 1 species
UUCCGGCUUUUCCCAGUCCGUAAACUCUAAAUUCUCUUUCUUCUUUGUCAUUCACCAAUCUACAAGUACAUACCGAAUAAGCAGAAAGGAGACGUAGUAACCGAUCAAUCAUCAUGGGAGCAUCAGGAUUUCUUGCAGCGACUUUGGAAGCUAAAUCCAAGGGUGAGAGAUGGGUUCCCAAAGGUCCGGCCUUGGCAAUAAUCUCCAAUAAAUCCAGUUCUAUUGCAGUUUUUAUAGCGUAAGGGACGAUACGAAGACCGAUUAGUUGCAUGGCUAGUAACAUAUCUUCUUCAUCUUCAUCUAGGGGAAUUUGUGUUGAAUUCAUAUUUAGGAUAUUCUUUGAAUGAGGAUUGUGAUGUAAAAUGAAGGAGAGGAGAAAGGUUAUUUAUUUUGUGCAAAUCGCUUCGUAACGGCCUUUUAAAGAGUACUGCAAUUAAGAAAUCUUAAACAUGCUGACACAUGUAUUUUAAUUUAAGAGUAUGAAGUAUUUUGGCAGAUUCGCUAUCAACGGCGUGGAAGGUGAUCUCUAUGAUGUUAUUGUUUUUUUUUUGCGAAAUUUGCCAAAACAGAAUUUAAAUUCAGCUUUUUUUGUUGGUAUAAAACUUUUUUUGUCCAUUUUUUAUCUCUUUUACUUUUUUUUCAUUUUUACAACUUAAUGAAAUAAAUAAUUUUAUGACUCAAAAAAUUAUAAAAAAAAUCGAAACAAUUGAUGAAACACCCAUAUACACUAACUGGUAUUUUUUUAGUUGAAAACUUAUUAAAUUAAAUUUUAAAUUAUAUUCUACGAAAAAUAAAUUUUAUCUUCUACGAAAAAUUGGUUAGAAGAAAUUGAAUUUCAGAUUAAACAAAUUCAUUUAUAUUUUUUAGAAUGUACAAUUUACUUUUAAUUAAAUUUGUAAACAUGAUAAAUGUGAAUUCUACCAGUUGUAAAGAUAGCUAUAUUUUUGGUAAAUGCAGUUUCUACUUUAUGAGAUAUUCUAAAAUUUCAUGAAUGUGAAAUCUAGAUUCAAUUCAGACGGCUACAUGUGGUAAAAUCUGCUUAUGAAACUUUUUGUCUUGCUUCUAUGCAUGCAUUGUAUAAGGCACAUUGUACGAAUAAGAAUAACAAUAUUUUUGAAAAUAUGGUAAGUUCAGUUACAAUAUAUUCUAAGAAUAUUUGGAAAUCUUUUUACUUUCCUAAAACGUGUUUCAGCUAUUUUUCAUGCCAAACCUAAAAUUAAAAAUAAUUUUCAAUUAUUUAUUUUGAUUUAUUUUCUAAAAUUCGAUUUUUUUUUAAAAAAGUUGUUUUAUUUUAAAUUAUUUUUUAAUAAUAUAUGUAGAUAUUUAAAAUUAUAAUCUUAGAUAUAUUUUCAUUUAUUUAUUUUUAUUAUGAUAUAUUAAAUCCGAAUGUACAAAAUUAAAAAAAUGAUAAUUUUUUUUUAUAAUCAUCAAAAAAGAAAACUAAACAGAAUUGAUAUAUUAUAUUGAUUUGGGGAUUAUUUAUUUAUUUUUCUUUGUUUUAUUUUAAAUUUUUUUAAUUAGAUUUUAAUUCAAUUUUUUUGUUUUCUUUUUCUUUUUGGGUCAAAAUUUGUUUUUGUUUUUAAUUGAUAUAUAAAAGUGAGUUUUAAUAGUUAAUUGAUAAAGUAAGAGUAAGAUUGGGGAUUUUAAAAAGUAUUAUUUUAAAUGGACUGAUUUAGGUUGCUUUCAUACUAAAGGCACAAAGAGAUUGUUGUUUUGUUUUAUUUUGGCAAAUUUUCCUUGUUUUUAUUCUAAACAGCUUGUAGGUUUGGUUUAACCAUAUAUAUUUAACUAUACGGUUAUCGUUGACAAAAAAAAAAAUUAUACGAUAUUAUCAUGAUUUUUAACUUAAAAUGAUUGGUGGUAUCGUCCCAGAUUUAACUAUCAAUAUUGAUCGAUUUUCAAUAUUAACUAAAGAAGUAACUGUAGUGCUGACUAGUAUUACUAUUAUCUGAUCAAUAGAAAAAUCAUAUCUUGUCUGGGUUUUCAAUUUUUAAAUGUAAAAAAAAAAAGAAAAAAAAAACAAGCGGACGCGUUUGUUUUGUUUGGAUCAUAUAAGUUCACAAGAAAAUCGAGUAUUAAAAAGUACUUUGUCAGCGUAGCAUGGGGGAACUUUCAUCUUUAUGCAGGUUUUGAAAUAGCUAGGAGGUGUGAUUCUCGACUAUUCGAGAAAAAAACAUGAUUUCAGUGACAUCCUUGAUUCUGUCAAACAAAGUGUCAAUACUCUGUGGCUUGGUAACCAAGAGAAUGAUAAAUGAAUUAAUGAGUGGGAAUAAUGAUUUUCUUAUCAUUAUUUACAAUUUACACUAUUUAUAAGAAAUAUUUGUUCUUAUGAUUCCUUUACAUUCCUUAACAUUUAAGGAAUAAUAGACUACAAUUAUUCUUUAUCAAAUUAGAAGAUGAAUAGUUUUUCCUUUUAUUUUAUUCUUUUCAUCUUUUUCCUUCUUAUAUUUCAUAUUUUUUUAAUGGUUACUAGUUUGUUUUGCAAAAAUGUUAUUUUAGAAUUUUUUUUGUUUUAACAAACAGUAUUAUUUUGUAUUUAUAAUGCAAAAUGUCAAAUAAAAAAUGGAAAAUUUUAAGUUUAGCACCAUUUUUUGUACCUCAAUUCAUGUUUAUCUUUAUUAAAGAAAUAUUUUCACAAAUAUUUUCUCCAUUGAAGAGGGAAUGACCCUUCUAUCAUUCUUUUAAAGAUAUUUAAAUAUGAAUAAUUAUUUAAAUAAAUAAUACUAAAAUUAAAAAAAAAGUUUUUUUAUAAUUUUCGAAUUAUACGUCUUCGAACAGGAACAUUUUUUUCAAAAAAAAAUUCAAUUUAUUUUUGAAAUUCGAAACAAAUCCAUAAAAAAUAUUUUGACUAAAUAUUAUAGUAAUUUUAGAAAAAUACAUAAAAAGUCCCCCCAAACUGGUUUUAGUUUUCAAACCCAAAAUAAAAAAAAAAACUCCAGUGAUUAUGGCCUUUAAAAAGUUGAAAUGUCAUAUUUGUUUUUUUUUUUGUAUCCUUUCCUUGUUGGCCAACCAGACAAGUAUUCUUUAUACCAGAACGUAUCUAACUGGUUUAUGUUUGAACUUGAGCAUGUCAACCAAACAUAAACAUGUAAACUGUAAACACUUUUUCCAUCGGAUUUUUCAAACAAUUAAAAAUAUUGAAAACGGUGAUUACUUUCUUUUUGUAUACACUAAAAUUUUUAUACAUCACUUAUCCUCUAAAUCGUAUUUGGUUCUUUUCGAUAUGAUUUGUUUAUAAAAAAAAAAAAUAAUUUUGUUUAUUUUAAAUUACAUUUAGUAAUAUAUAUGUAAUAUAUUUAAAAUUCGAAUCUUAGAUAAAUUUUUUAUCUAUUUAUUUUGGUUAAAUGCAUUAAAUCAACGUGUAUAAAAUUACUUAAAAAUCAUAUAAAAAUUGUAUAGUUAUUAAAAAUUAUAACUAAAUAAUAUUUAUAAAAUUUGUAGAUAUUUAUAAAAAGAAACUAAUAAAAUUACGAUUAACAAUUUUUUAAUAUUUUUAAAAACAUGUAGAAAAUUUUGAAAAUAUUAGUAAUAAAAAUUAUAUAAUUAUAAAAAUACAAUUAAAUAAUAUAUUUCGAAACUAUAAUGCAUAUUUUAAUAUAUUUAUUUUAGUGAUGAUUUAUGAAUUAUUACCAUAUUUUAAGAAGUUUACCAAAAAUAUAAAUCAACAUUAAAUGUAAUGUAUUAAUUAUUGCUAUAUUCUAUAAAGUUUACCAAAAAAUAUAUGUCUGUAAUAUAAGUCAUGUCAUCAAUCUUGUUAGUCAUGUCAUCAUUGUUUUUGUAAAAAUGAUUAUAGAGAACACAUGUAGCAAAAUUACUUCGCAAAUAUAGUCUAGGGGAUGAUCCCACUUGCAAUUUCGGAAAAGAGCACUUCAAAAACAGAAAUAUGUUCUAUAUGGACCGACAAUACGUUUACGAUGUUGGAAAUUAUUCAAGAAAAUAUAAUUUUGGAUGUUCGUUCAUAUGUGAAAGAUGUUUUCUUGGAAUUUUAAGAUAUUUUCUCUCAAAAGUAAGUCAAGUUUUGUGUAGAAAAUAUAAACCCCAUGGUAGUUUAGAUUUUUUUUAAUUCGAAUAUGUAACAUAAAAUUUGAGUAAGUGCUAAUUAUUCUUGCCAAAAUAAACUUUGUAUUCUAACACUAUGUUGCUUUAUAGCAAGGAUAAACCACCCCACCCAUAUCUAGUUUUUUUUAAUGAGAUUUUUUAAAAAAAAUCCAGGGUGGUUUUUGCAAAUUUUGUAAUUCGCAUCCGUGACACAAAAGAAAACCAUAUAUAAGAGUUUAUUUAAUAUACUCAUACCACAUAUCGCCUUCAAAUUUGGGGUUGGUAAAACGCACAGUAGACGCCAAAGAAAAUCUAUCUUCAUCUUUAAUAAGUUUCCUUCCGGCUUUUCCCAGUCCGUAAACUCUAAAUUCUCUUUCUUCUUUGUCAUUCACCAAUCUACAAGUACAUACCGAAUAAGCAGAAAGGAGACGUAGUAACCGAUCAAUCAUCAUGGGAGCAUCAGGAUUUCUUGCAGCGACUUUGGAAGCUAAAUCCAAGGGUGAGAGAUGGGUUCCCAAAGGUCCGGCCUUGGCAAUAAUCUCCAAUAAAUCCAGUUCUAUUGCAGUUUUUAUAGCGUAAGGGACGAUACGAAGACCGAUUAGUUGCAUGGCUAGUAACAUAUCUUCUUCAUCUUCAUCUAGGGGAAUUUGUGUUGAAUUCAUAUUUAGGAUAUUCUUUGAAUGAGGAUUGUGAUGUAAAAUGAAGGAGAGGAGAAAGGUUAUUUAUUUUGUGCAAAUCGCUUCGUAACGGCCUUUUAAAGAGUACUGCAAUUAAGAAAUCUUAAACAUGCUGACACAUGUAUUUUAAUUUAAGAGUAUGAAGUAUUUUGGCAGAUUCGCUAUCAACGGCGUGGAAGGUGAUCUCUAUGAUGUUAUUGUUUUUUUUUUGCGAAAUUUGCCAAAACAGAAUUUAAAUUCAG